AAGAAAUUCUAAUAUUUCAGUUUCGACCCCGUUUGGUCACCGAAAACUGUACCGAACUGUAAUCUUUAUCAGAUAGCUGUCGGAUUUUAUUUUCCACUUUCCGGGUGUCAGAAUGGCAUGAAACUUUAAAUCUAGCCUCAUAAAAAUAGUUCUGACGCAUCCUCCAGUUUUCAUAAUUUUCUGACACUGCGCAUUUUCUGCUAAUUUAUCUGCCCUGUUUCUCACAGAAAAUUCUAAAUCUUCUGUUUCCGCUCCGAUUGCAACACAGGUCAUUUUCAACUUAUAUUUCACUUAUCUAAAUCCAAUAAAAAUAGUAUCUCAUACUAUUUUUAUUUAUUUUUAUUUUUAUAUUUAAAAUCCGGUAUAUUACAUUCUACCGCAAUCUCACCGGAACCAUUCAAAUGGCUUUCCAACCAAAUGUACACCAUAACUUCAUAAUUUUA
rnacentral:lncRNA from 1 species